GGGCCUAUAGUUUAGUGGUAAAACGGUGCAUUCGCAUUGCACAGACGGGAGUUCGAUUCUCCCUAGGUCCA
rnacentral:tRNA from 1 species